ensembl:snoRNA SNORD83 Small nucleolar RNA SNORD83
GCCACAUGAUGAGAAAUAUAGAUUGCAUUAGCACUCUGUGCAAAGAUGACCAGCUAUCUAUCACCCUAUACUGAUGGCU